rnacentral:rRNA from 1 species
GCCUUCCAUGAAGCUGGAAUUGCUAGUAAUGGCAGGUCAGCAUACUGCCGUGAAUACGUUCCCGGGCCUUGUACACACCGCCCGUCACACCAUGAGAGUUGGGAAUACCCGAAGCCUGUGAGCUAACUUUAAGAGGCAGCAGUCGAAGGUAGAAUCAAUGAUUGGGGUGAAGUCGUAACAAGGUACC